ACUCCUACGGGAGGCAGCAGUGAGGAAUAUUGGUCAAUGGGCGCAAGCCUGAACCAGCCAUGCCGCGUGCAGGAAGACUGCCUUAUGGGUUGUAAACUGCUUUUUAUAUGGGAAAGAAAACCCCUCUACGUGUAGAGGCUUGACGGUACCAUAAGAAUAAGCACCGGCUAACUCCGUGCCAGCAGCCGCGGUAAUACGGAGGGUGCGAGCGUUAAUCGGAAUUACUGGGCGUAAAGCGCAUGCAGGCGGCCUGUUAAGUCAGAUGUGAAAGCCCGGGGCUUAACCUCGGAAUUGCAUUUGAAACUGGCAGGCUAGAGUCUUGUAGAGGGGGUGAGAAUUAUCAGGUGUAGCGGUGAAAUGCGUAGAGAUCUGAAGGAAUACCAGUGGCGAAGGCGGCCCCUCGU
rnacentral:rRNA from 1 species